UAAUAGACAAAGAGUCAACAUUGAUUGCUUACCCUCUUUCCAUUUCGAUAGAUAACAGAAGCAGUACAAGUGACCGCUACCGAUUCUCGUCUCGGAGUUAGAAGAAAGAUACAAUACGAGUUUUAACCCCGCUAUUAAAUCCCAAAAAAUACUUAAAACUCCCUUUGUUUUUAUUUUUAUUUUUAAAUGACUUACACAUUUUUAAAGAUAGAGAAUUAAUAAAUGAAGAGUCGACAUGGGUCAUUAAUCAUCUUCUCACUUCGAUAAAUAACAGGAGCAGUACAAAUGACCACAACCGAUACUUGGUUCAAAGUAAGAAGUAAGAUAUGACACGAGUCGUAACCUC
rnacentral:lncRNA from 1 species